ACAAACAUACGGGGAGAAGAAGCAAAAACUGGGAUAGGGAACACUCCUAUUUGCUAAUACUUCAUCACGUUUACGAAGCAUUUGAGAAAUCAAUUCCCCAACAUUAGAAGCAAUGUGCCGUUUGGCCGGCUCAAGAACACAAACAGCAAAAACCUGAAUAAGAAGUUGAACAUGCUCAUGUAUCAAACAAUGUAAUUGUCCUAUCUGAUGGGGUGUAAAUCCAUUCACAAAG
rnacentral:misc_RNA from 1 species